ACUCCUACGGGAGGCAGCAGUGGGGAAUAUUGCACAAUGGGGGAAACCCUGAUGCAGCCAUGCCGCGUGUGUGAAGAAGGCCUCGGUUGUAAAGCACUUCAGUAGGGAGGAAGGUAGUGUAGUUAACACCUGCAUUAUUUGACGUUACCUACAGAAGAAGCACCGGCUAACUCCGUGCCAGCAGCCGCGGUAAUACGGAGGGGUGCGAGCGUUAAUCGGAAUUACUGGGCGUAAAGCGCAUGCAGGCGGCCUGUUAAGUCAGAUGUGAAAGCCCGGGGGCUUAACCUCGGAAUUGCAUUUGAAACUGGCAGGCUAGAGUCUUGUAGAGGGGGUAGAAUUUCAGGUGUAGCGGUGAAAUGCGUAGAGAUCUGAAGGAAUACCAGUGGCGAAGGCGGCCCCCUGGACAAAGACUGACGCUCAGAUGCGAAAGCGUGGGGAGCAAACAGGAUUAGAUACCCUGGUAGCACAGAGG
rnacentral:rRNA from 1 species